UCUUUUCCUUUUUUGCCCGCCGCCGCGGUAAUACGGAGGAUGCGAGCGUUAUCCGGAUUUAUUGGGUUUAAAGGGUGCGUAGGUGGUGAUUUAAGUCAGCGGUGAAAGUUUGUGGCUCAACCCUAAAAUUGCCGUUGAAACUGGGUUACUUGAGUGUGUUUGAGGUAGGCGGAAUGCGUGGUGUAGCGGUGAAAUGCAUAGAUAUCACGCAGAACUCCGAUUGCGAAGGCAGCUUACUAAACCAUAACUGACACUGAAGCACGAAAGCGUGGGGAUCAAACAGG
rnacentral:rRNA from 1 species